GCCGAAGGUCGUGCCUCGUGCACCUUCAGCUCAAGGGGUGUCCAAGCGCCAGCCAGCUUCGCCUGCCUUCUGGGAGGAGGUCACAGAUACGGAGCUGGUUGCCAUCUGCGACGUAGCCCCUCCCACUAACGACUGAGUUCCUUGAACGUGGUAAGGUAGGU